rnacentral:rRNA from 1 species
GACGAACGCUGGCGGCGUGCUUAACACAUGCAAGUCGAACGGAAAGGCCCUGCUUGCAGGGUACUCGAGUGGCGAACGGGUGAGUAACACGUGGGUGAUCUGCCCUGCACUUCGGGAUAAGCCUGGGAAACUGGGUCUAAUACCGGAUAGGAGCCAUUUUUAGUGUGAUGGUUGGAAAGUUUUUUCGGUGUAGGAUGAGCUCGCGGCCUAUCAGCUUGUUGGUGGGGUAAUGGCCUACCAAGGCGGCGACGGGUAGCCGGCCUGAGAGGGUGGACGGCCACACUGGGACUGAGAGACGGCCCAGACUCCGACGGGAGGCAGCAGUGGGGAAGAUUGCACAAGGGGCGCAAGCCUGAUGCAGCGACGCCGCGUGGGGGAUGACGGCCUUCGGGUUGUAAACUCCUUUCGCUAGGGACGAAGCUUUUUGUGACGGUACCUAGAUAAGAAGCACCGGCUAACUACGUG